rnacentral:rRNA from 1 species
AACGAACGCUGGCGGCAGGCUUAACACAUGCAAGUCAAGCGCCCCGCAAGGGGAGCGGCAGACGGGUGAGUAACGCGUGGGAACGUACCCUUUGCUACGGAAUAGCUCCGGGAAACUGGAAUUAAUACCGUAUGUGCCCUACGGGGGAAAGAUUUAUCGGCAAAGGAUCGGCCCGCGUUGGAUUAGCUAGUUGGUGGGGUAAGGGCCUACCAAGGCGACAAUCCAUAGCUGGUCUGAGAGGAUGAUCAGCCACAUUGGGACUGAGACACGGCCCAAACUCCUACGGGAGGCAGCAGUGGGGAAUAUUGGACAAUGGGCGCAAGCCUGAUCCAGCCAUGCCGCGUGAGUGAUGAAGGCCUUAGGGUUGUAAAGCUCUUUCACCGGAGAAGAUAAUGACGGUAUCCGGAGAAGAAGCCCCGGCUAACUUCGUGUCAGCAGCCGCAGUAAUAC